rnacentral:pre_miRNA from 9 species
UUUCGAUAGCGUAAAAGUUAACUCAAAUUUGUAUGGAGUUGGAAUGUUUGCCUAGGUUUACCGCUAGGGGCGCUGUUCCACCUGAAUACAAACUUGAGUUAACUUUUACGCUAUCGA